AUGCUUUAAACUAAUGAAUAAGGAAAAUACAAUCCGGGGUGAUGCCCAGGCGUUUGCUGCCUUGUUGAAAGGAAUUUUUGCAUGUGUAAAGCUUGUCCUGCUGAUGACCCACCUACAUGGUGGGAUGCUGCAGUGCAAUGAUCUGCCCA